UCACCGGGUGAACAUUGGUGC
rnacentral:miRNA from 1 species